AUACGUAGGGGGCGAGCGUUGUCCGGAAUGAUUGGGCGUAAAGGGCGCGUAGGCGGCCUGUUAAGUCUGGAGUGAACGUCCUGUUUUCAAGAUGGGAAUUGCUUUGGAUACUGAUGGGCUUGAGUGCAGGAGAGGUUAUCGGAAUUCCCGGUGUAGCGGUGAAAUGCGUAGAGAUCGGGAGGAACACCAGUGGCGAAGGCGGGUAACUGGACUGCAACUGACGCUGAGGCGCGAAAGUGUGGGGAGCAAACAGGAUUAGAUACCCUGGUAGUCCACACUGUAAACGAUGAAUGCUAGGUGUAAGAGGUAUCGACCCCUUUUGUGCCGGAGUUAACACAAUAAGCAUUCCGCCUGGGGAGUACGGCCGCAAGGUUGAAACUUAAAGGAAUUGACGGGG
rnacentral:rRNA from 1 species